rfam:Aspergillus brasiliensis CBS 101740 unplaced genomic scaffold ASPBRscaffold_3, whole genome shotgun sequence.
GUCUUCAUGGUGUAGUUGGUUAUCACGUGGGUCUCAUAUCAAUCAAUUAAUUGAAAUAUGACUAGGAAACAUACAUUUCCUGGAUAUCCCAAGGCCGGGAGUUCGAACCUCCCUGAGGACA